rnacentral:rRNA from 1 species
UUGAGACGUAAUUAAAUGCCGGAUAAUACGAACAAUAGUUUAAAAUCCAAAGAAUUUGGCGGUAUAUUAUAUAAUCAGGGGAACCUGUCUCUUAAUACGAUAAUCCACGAAAAUCAAUCCUUUCCUCGAACAAAUCAGCUUGUGUACUGCUGUCGUCAGUAAACCUCUAAAAGAUAGUUUACAAAAAUAAGUAACUUAUACCUACGUCAAGUCAAAGUGCAGCAUAUGUUAAGGAGGACGAUGGGUUACAAUCCAAAUAUGGAAUACGAAUAAAUUAAAUAAAAAAAUUUUGAAGGUGGACUUGAUAGUAAUAACUAUAAAAAAUUGUUAUAAACAGGAGUCUAAUAUAUGCACAAAUCGCCCGUCACUCUCGUCUAAA